rnacentral:rRNA from 1 species
GACGAACGCUGGCGGCGUGCUUAACACAUGCAAGUCGAACGGAAAGGCCCCUUUGGGGGUACUCGAGUGGCGACCGGGUGAGUAACACGUGAGUAACCUGCCCCUGACUUCGGGAUAACUUCAGGAAACUGGGGCUAAUACUGGAUAGGAAUCCUUGCUGCAUGGUGGGGGUUGGAAAGCUUCGGCGGUUUUGGAUGGACUUGCGGCGUAUCAGCUUGUUGGUGGGGUAGUGGGUUACCAAGGCUUUGUCGGGUAGCCGGCCUGAGAGGGCGACCGGCCACCUUGGGGCCGAGGGGCGGCCCAGGCUCCUACGGGGCGGAACAGGGGGGAAUAUUGCACAAUGGGCGGAAGCCUAGUGCAGCAACGCCGCGGGCGGGAUGACGGCCUUCGGGGUGUAAACCGAUUUCAGCAGGGGCGAAGCUUGUGGUGACGGUACCUGCAGAAGAAGCACCGGCUAACUACGUG